UAGGUGCAUAUGCGUAUUACCUAAGUGUUCGAUAUGAGGGUUAAUUAGUUUGAGGGUAAUGUGGGAAGUGGAGGGUGUGACUGCGUAGAAUAACCACGUGGGAGAAGGACGUGGAAGAUUUUUGAAACACUUGUGUGACGGUUUUAUGUUCAAUUUACAUGGGAGAAAUUGGAUAUGAAGCAGACUUGUCUCUGUGCACUUCUAAGAAUGUAUUCUGGGAGCUCAAGAGUUCAAAGUCUUGACAGGAUGUAACGUGAGGAUGUUAUGCAGUUUGGAUGGAUAAUACUUUGGAGAUGGAGAUGGAGGGCAAAAUCCAUAAUUUGUAGAAAUGGACAAUACAGGCUAGACGUAAAGGGUACCAUGUUUUUGGCAGGCCUGAAGUGACUAGUGAAAAGGAGAAAGCUUGGUUGCAUGAGAUGUUGGAGGGAUCGACUUGGAGCUUUGCUGAGCAAGACUUCAAAAUGUGAUUU